UAGGGAAUCUUCGGCAAUGGACGAAAGUCUGACCGAGCAACGCCGCGUGAGUGAAGAAGGUUUUCGGAUCGUAAAACUCUGUUGUUAGAGAAGAACAAGGACGUUAGUAACUGAACGUCCCCUGACGGUAUCUAACCAGAAAGCCACGGCUAACUACGUGCCAGCAGCCGCGGUAAUACGUAGGUGGCAAGCGUUGUCCGGAUUUAUUGGGCGUAAAGCGAGCGCAGGCGGUUUCUUAAGUCUGAUGUGAAAGCCCCCGGCUCAACCGGGGAGGGUCAUUGGAAACUGGGAGACUUGAGUGCAGAAGAGGAGAGUGGAAUUCCAUGUGUAGCGGUGAAAUGCGUAGAUAUAUGGAGGAACACCAGUGGAGAAGGCGGCUCUCUGGUCUGUAACUGACGCUGAGGCUCGAAAGCGUGGGGCGCAAACAGG
rnacentral:rRNA from 1 species